UACGAAGGGGGCUAGCGUUGCUCGGAAUUACUGGGCGUAAAGCGCACGUAGGCGGGUUCUUAAGUCGGUGGUGAAAUCCUGGAGCUCAACUCCAGAACUGCCUUCGAAACUGGGAAUCUUGAGUCCGGGAGAGGUGAGUGGAACUGCGAGUGUAGAGGUGAAAUUCGUAGAUAUUCGCAAGAACACCAGUGGCGAAGGCGGCUCACUGGCCCGAUACUGACGCUGAGGCACGAAAGCGUGGGGAGCAAACAGGG
rnacentral:rRNA from 1 species